GGUACGCAAACAGGAUACACCCAGGGCUAUGUGACAGUCUUCAAAAUGAGUAUUCAGGAAGCUUUUUUGAAGAAUUUGAACACUGCAUAAUGUGUAUAAAUGAACAAGGAUCAGGUGGGGAAGAAAAUAUAAGGUGAUUGGAACCUUGUACAGGAGCCAGUAUUAAAUUGCUAUAAUUAUGAAUAAUCCUAGAGCCAGAGAGAAGGUACUUGGGAUAUAAACUAAACACAGUUUAAAUGAUCCAUGGAGAUGAAAAGAUGGUAAAGCGAAAAGAGAAAACUGAUCUCAAAACAUUCGAUUCACUUGGUUUCUCCGCUGUCAUAGACUUCCAGAAAGAAAUGCAAU